AGUGAACGCUGGCGGUAGGCCUAACACAUGCAAGUCGAACGGCAGCACAGUAAGAGCUUGCUCUUACGGGUGGCGAGUGGCGGACGGGUGAGGAAUACAUCGGAAUCUACUUUUUCGUGGGGGAUAACGUAGGGAAACUUACGCUAAUACCGCAUACGACCUACGGGUGAAAGCAGGGGAUCUUCGGACCUUGCGCGAUUGAAUGAGCCGAUGUCGGAUUAGCUAGUGGGCGGGGUAAAGGCCACCAAGGCGACGAUCCGUAGCUGGUCUGAGAGGAUGAUCAGCCACACUGGAACUGAGACACGGUCCAGACUCCUACGGGAGGCAGCAGUGGGGAAUAUUGGACAAUGGGCGCAAGCCUGAUCCAGCCAUACCGCGUGGGUGAAGAAGGCCUUCGGGUUGUAAAGCCCUUUUGUUGGGAAAGAAAAGCAGCAGGUUAAUACCCCGCUGUUCUGACGGUACCCAAAGAAUAAGCACCGGCUAACUUCGUG
rnacentral:rRNA from 1 species